rnacentral:rRNA from 1 species
AUAACUAAGCGGAGGAAAAGAAACUAACCAGGAUUCCCCCAGUAACGGCGAGUGAAGCGGGAAGAGCUCGCGAUGUGAACCCGGCCGCGAGGUCGGGAUUGUAGUCUGGAGAGGCGUUGCCAGCCGGCGGCGGGGUCGAAGUCUCUUGGAAAAGAGCAUCAAGGAGGGUGACAAUCCCGUCUCGGUCCCCGCUCGGCGAGCUUACGGCGCGCUUUUUACGAGUCGAGUUGCUUGGGAUUGCAGCUCAAAGCGGGUGGUAAAUUCCAUCUAAAGCUAAAUACGGGUGGGAGACCGAUAGCGAACAAGUACCGUGAGGGAAAGAUGCAAAGAACUUUGAAAAGAGAGUUAAAGAGUGCCUGAAAUUGCUGAAAGGGAAGCGAAGGAAGCCAGUGUCUGACGGUUGUGCUUCUCCGACGGUCUUGGGGCCGCCGGGCGGCGCUUCCGUCGUGGCCAGGGCCGGGUUGGGCCGCGGGAUCUCGCGUCCUCGGGAGGUACGUCUCUUCGGAGAGGGAAUGCCGGGGCGCUCUCCGUCGCGGUCGUGGCCGGCCCCGACGAAAUGGUUUUCUUCAC